AGGGCUACCCGGCUGAGUUUGCGAUGUACCUCAACUACUGCCGCGGCCUUCGCUUCGAGGAAACUCCUGACUACAUGUACCUGCGUCAGCUGUUCCGCAUCCUGUUCAGAACUCUGAACUACCAGUACGACUACAUGUUCGACUGGACGAUGCUCAAGCAGAAGGGAGCUGCCUCGUCCGUCGGAUCUUCCACCAACACGAUCGGAUACCCAGAGCGGACCAAGAGCAAAGGAGGGCUCUGAUGGAGGCAGUGAUACUUGGUGCCGGUGGAGCAGCUCACCCACUCGCUCACCAACUCGCUCACCAACUCACCCACUCGCUCACCCACUCACUCACCAACUCGCUCACCAACUCACCCACUCACUCAAUCACUCACCCACCCACUCACCCACUCACUCAAUCACUCACCCACCCACU